CCUACGGGUGGCAGCAGUGGGGAAUUUUGUGCAAUGGGCGAAAGCCUGACACAGCGACACCGCGUGAGCGAAGAAGCCCUUUGGGGUGUAAAGCUCUGUCAGCAGGAACGAAAAAAAUGACGGUACCUGCAGAGGAAGCAUCGGCUAACUACGUGCCAGCAGCCGCGGUAAGACGUAGGAUGCAAGCGUUGUCCGGAUUUAUUGGGCGUAAAGAGUUCGUAGGUGGUUCGUUAAGUCCGAUGUUAAAGACUGGGGCCCAACCCCGGGAGUGCAUUGGAUACUGGCGGACUGGAGUGCAGUAGAGGCGAGUGGAAUUCCCAGUGUAGCGGUGAAAUGCGUAGAUAUUGGGAAGAACACCGGUGGCGUAGGCGACUCGCUGGGCUGUAACUGACGCUGAGGAACGAAAGCCAGGGGAGCGAAUGGGAUUAGAUACCCUUGUA
rnacentral:rRNA from 1 species